CUGCUAUCACCGGUGAAACACCACCCUGGUGACGAACUUGACGGGGUGUCAAUAAAGCUGGAGUCACCUUCAGCGCUAGCCAGUAAAUGUGUAGAUAAAAGGAAGCUGAAAUUUAAAAACAAUCUAACCUUACCUAACCUUACCUUACCUAUUGGCUAUUAACAUACUAACCUAUACCCUACACCCUACCAACUGACGGUGACGCCAGCUUUACCAUAAACCGUAGGUUGUAGUUUAGUAGGUAAGGUUAGGUCAGGUUAUAUAAUGUUUUGUUCUGUUAGACUAGGUGGGUAUUUGAUUAGAUUUAAAAGCGAAUUUUGUGUAAAUGUCUCAAGAACUGGAAAGUCUAGCGACUUCACAAAUGGGUGGCAGCAUGUGAGAUGCCUGCUAUAUGAAUACCAGAAAUCCUUCUCUAUGUCUCAACCCCCUGUUCUGGGCUGGGCGGACACUUUCAUCCCAUGUGGGAAGCUCCCCUAGGAGCAUACAUGGAGCCAGGUGCAGUGUCAGGGACAGGGUGCCCUGUUCACUGGAUGGGCUCAGCCCCAAUGACUUGUACCAGGGUGUUUGCCCAUACCAAUAGCUCCCCCUAAUUCCUAUCAUUCCUCCAACUCUGUAGUCUUUUUGGGCCAAAACUUGAAAGGCAACCCAACAAAACUUUAAAUUGAUUUUUAACUUGUGGCAUAGUACUUACUAUUUUGCCAGUCUGACAACAUCCCAUUACUGCCUUGACUGGCUUUCUUCUCUCUCAGGCUGAUCCUGUGUCACAGAGCCACAUAGAUGAGCAGCUACCCAUCGUAGGAUGCACACUCAACCUCCUGCUAGUUUCUGAGCCAAGUCAGCUUGACAGAGGGGUCUGCUAAUGCACAGCCACCUAGCCACUGCUAACAGAUGCUGGCUGGGACAGACGCUCAUCAAAGGUGUGCCACACGACAUGGGCAUUCUCGUUCUGCAUCAAGCCUCAAGGUGCCUCAGCCAAACGGCAGUGAGAAAUAAGGGUUGGAAUAAAAGAAGAGGACUGAGGAGAAAAUCCAUUUACCACAAUUUUAUCACUGUGGACCAUCGCGAAUGCGUAGUGUAAUAUACCUAUUAACUUAGUAGCCCAGCACGCUCAAGAGAUCUUGGAAACUGGACCACCCCAGAUCAGUAGAUGCAGACAUGCACGUGCAGACGAAACACCAGCGCCAUGCAUGGGGUCCAAUCUCACCAUGGAAAUGCCAAAGCACACAGCUCAAGCCAUGCUGCCAUCCACAUGACGUGCGGCCAGGCUCGUUGCUGUCGGCGGUUCUGAAGACAGCGGUUCGAUCCAGCUGAAGGACGUCACCUGGCAGGAAGUUGUAGAGUGUGGUGGCCAGUAUCAAGCCACAUUGUCCAGAAACCAUCACAUUAUCUCCAGGUCACUAGUCGCCGGUGCUCGAGCUGACGGCGUCGCUCAAGGGCUCCACGGUGACAAGCGCCGUCACCGCUGCCGCCGCCGCCGAGACCAUCCGACUCCUGGGCCCUGUUUCACGGCAGCGUACUGCAGCGCGCUACGCAGCGCUGCUGUGUUAGUGCGGCGAUUGAGACGAAUUCGGCUCGACGCUCCAGCGUUGCGAAACACCCGUGUCUAUGAAGGAUACGCCGAUACGUCUUCCAGCUUCAAGCCCUUCCCGCCCCCCCCCCCCCCCGCCCCGUCCCAACGGUGUUGGCCGAGAUUGGGGUUGGUAUUUUAACGGGCUCUCCGAUGACGUCCCGCAAUUUGUGUUAUGUAAUUUGACGAUUAUGUCGUAGUCUCAUUCUGUCUCGAUAUGCUAAUAAAUGAUAAAUGGGACGGAGGUUGGAAGUAAGGUGUGAGUGGCUGUAACCGGCAGGUUUUGGCGAGCGCGAUAUUAGUUAUUGUGAGCGCGCCAGCUGCAUUAAAUCGCGCGCUUCUGGCGAGAAAAUACUUGCUCUGGAACCUAGAAGUUUGUCGUGAAAUCUAUGUGCCUUUGGAUUGAAUUAUUAGAACAUAAUGUACUUUCGGUGUCCAGCACUGCAGCUCUGGAAAUAGAAAUAUGGAUGUUGGCUGUUUGAUGUAGCAAGGGCUAACAAUCUGCGUCAAGAAUCAAAAGCUGUAUGCAAAUUAAAGUGAAUAUAUUUCAAUGAAUUUUUAAAUUUUGUGAUACAAAACAUAAAUGUGUCAACUACUGAUUACACCCGGCUGCAAACACUGUAACGCUUGCAAUGCUGUACGGCAAAUAAAUAAUAUAGAUUCUC
rnacentral:lncRNA from 1 species